CAGCAGCCGCGGUAAGACAGAGGAUGCAAGCGUUGUCCGGAAUUAUUGGGCGUAAAGGGCUCGCAGGCGGUUUCUUAAGUCUGAUGCGAAAGCCCCCGGCUCAACCGGGGAGGGUCAUUGGAAACUGGGAAACUUGAGUGCAGAAGAGGAGAGUGGAAUUCCACGUGUAGCGGUGAAAUGCGUAGAGAUGUGGAGGAACACCAGUGGCGAAGGCGACUCUCUGGUCUGUAACUGACGCUGAGGAGCGAAAGCGUGGGGAGCGAACAGGAUUAGAUACCCCAGUAGUCCCUGUCUCUUAUAC
rnacentral:rRNA from 1 species